AUUGAACGCUGGCGGCAGGCCUAACACAUGCAAGUCGAACGAGUGGCGGACGGGUGAGUAAUGUCUGGGAAACUGCCCGUUGGAGGGGGAUAACUACUGGAAACGGUAGCUAAUACCGCAUACCAUCGGAUGUGCCCAGAUGGGAUUAGCUAGUAGGUGGGGUAACGGCUCACCUAGGCGACGAUCCCUAGCGGGUCUGAGAGGAUGACCAGCCACACUUGAGCUGAGACACGGUCCAGCCUCCUACGGGGGGCAGCAGUGGGUAAUAUUGCACACUGGGAGCAAGCCUGAUGCAGCCAUGCCGCGUGUAUGAAGAAGGCCUUCGGGUUGUAAAGUACUUUCAGCGGGGAGGCGUUACCCGCAGAAGAAGCACCGGCUAACUCCGUGCCAGCCGCCGCGGUAAUUC
rnacentral:rRNA from 1 species